rnacentral:lncRNA from 1 species
UUCUUGGACGAAUCUGGACAGGGAAGCAAGGAGAAAUAAUAUGGUCCAAAAUUGGACCAUAUAACAUUUUUACAGCCGACCUCCAGAGCCUGGCCCCCGGGAAGGAGCUGGAGAGUGAGGUAAAUGGUUAACCUAACUUGUUUUGUGAUUCCAAUAUGUCCUUGUUGAUAUGAAAGUGAAUUGGAAGAAUUUUUGUUUAGAUUGUCAACGCCUACAUAUCGUCGGUGUUGACAAUGUCGUCACAAAAGUGCAAGGUCAUCGACACAUUCGAGAUGACUGCCAUUUGGGAUGGCACGUCGCGGAGGAUGAGGAAGGUAAGGACCAUAGUUGCUUUUUGAAAGGAAUUGAUUAACAAUAAAACCAUCUUAAAAACUCAACUCAUCUCUUACAGCUGGACGUUAUGGAGUGGGACGUCCUGAUCGGGGCCGUGUGCAAGGACGGUCAUUGGACAUUAGUUGUAACUACACUUUAAUUAAUGCAAUUUAAGUAGAUAUAUUUUCUACUCUAAGAUUACACUAACAUAUCCGAUCUGUAAAAGGCCAUGUAUCCAAAAGAAGGACGGGCCGUUUUUAUUGUCCCCUUCGGUGCCACCCCCGCUAAAAUUCAGAAAUGCAAAGAUUCAACGAGGGCUUUCAUGCGGAAAAAAAAUGGGGAAUCUGUCACGGUGGCUGUGCGCCACAAUUCCCCAUCCCCGCCAGCAAGACCUUACCUCCUGUGGCGUUAUUGUUUGCAAAGUAAGAUUAUGAACACAAUAACAAUUAUACAUCUAUUAAAAGGACCA